AUUGAACGUUGGCGGCACGCCUAAUACAUGCAAGUCGAACGAGAAAGCACUUCGGUGUGAGUACAGUGGCGGACGGGUGAGUAACGCGUAGGAAUAUGCCUGGUAGUGGGGGGACAACUCGGGGGAAACUCGAGCUAAUACCGCGUACGCUCCUUCUCUUUGAGAGGGAGGAAAGUGGGGGAUCUUCGGACCUCAUGCUAUCAGAGUAGCCUGCGUUGGAUUAGCUAGUUGGUAGGGUAAAGGCCUACCAAGGCGACGAUCCAUAGCUGGUCUGAGAGGACGAUCAGCCACACUGGAACUGAGACACGGUCCAGACUCCUACGGGUGGCUG
rnacentral:rRNA from 1 species